rnacentral:rRNA from 1 species
AAUGAACGUUGGCGGCAUGGAUUAGGCAUGCAAGUCGAGCGGGAAGAGUUUUGAAGCUUGCUUUAGAACUCGGACAGCGGCGAAAGGGAGAGUAACGCGUAGUUAUGUGCCCUAGGGUCCGGAAUAGCCACGGGAAACUGUGGGUAAUGCCGGAUAAUAUCCCCGGAUCAAAGGUGUGAUUCCGCCCUAGGAGCAGACUGCGUCCUACUAGCUAGUUGGUGGGGUAAUGGCCCACCAAGGCAAUGAUGGGUAGCGGGUGUGAGGGCAUGACCCGUCUCACUGGGACUGAGACACUGCCCAGACACCUACGGGUGGCUGCAGUCGAGAAUCUUCGGCAAUGGCGAAAGCCUGACCGAGCGAUGCCGCGUGCGGGAUGAAGGCCCUCGGGUUGUAAACCGCUGUCGUAGGGGAGGAAGGUUCCGUGAAGAGCGGGACUUGACCUAUCCUAGGAGGAAGUACGGGCUAAGUUCGUGCCAGCCGCCGCGGUAA